rnacentral:lncRNA from 1 species
CGCAAGCUGAAGUUCGUGGUCUAGGAUGAAGGUUUGCUUGAAGCCGUUCAAGUGUCCGGCCUCUACGGGUAUCCACACAAAGCAGUGAUCCGAUCAAAGCUCUCUUGUCUUCCCGGGGUGCUAGCUCCCUUGCAAAGACUUUUUUUGAUGGUUGAUUUCCUCUCUUUCAAUCAACCCUUGAUUGUGCUUGAGAGGAGGAAGAAGAAGGAUGAAGAAGAGGAAGAAGAAG